GACGAACGCUGGCGGCGUGCUUAACACAUGCAAGUCGAACGGAAAGGCCCUGCUUUUGUGGGGUGCUCGAGUGGCGAACGGGUGAGUAACACGUGAGUAACCUGCCCUUGACUUUGGGAUAACUUCAGGAAACUGGGGCUAAUACCGGAUAAGAGCUCCUGCUGCAUGGUGGGGGUUGGAAAGUUUCGGCGGUUGGGGAUGGACUCGCGGCUUAUCAGCUUGUUGGUGGGGUAGUGGCUUACCAAGGCUUUGACGGGUAGCCGGCCUGAGAGGGUGACCGGCCACAUUGGGACUGAGAUACGGCCCAGACUCCUACGGGAGGCAGCAGUGGGGAAUAUUGCACAAUGGGCGGAAGCCUGAUGCAGCAACGCCGCGUGCGGGAUGACGGCCUUCGGGUUGUAAACCGCUUUCGCCUGUGACGAAGCGUGAGUGACGGGAAUGGGUAAAGAAGCACCGGCUAACUACGU
rnacentral:rRNA from 1 species